CAAUCCCCUCAGGCUCAGCCGCGCCGGGGGCAGCAGGCCGGUUCCCGAGGUGGCCCAGGUGCCCUCCCGCCGCAGGCGCCGCCCGGGCCGUCCCUCCCCGCCGCCCCCCGCCCUCCGCCUCUGCCUCCCCCCGCCCUCCUCCUCCCUUCCCCCUCCCCGCCCAGCAGCGGUCGCUCGGGCCAGGCUCUCGGUUAUAAGAUGGCGGCGCUGAGCGGCGGCGGCGGCGCGGAGCAGGGCCAGGCUCUGUUCAACGGGGACAUGGAGCCCGAGGCCGGCGCCGCGGCCUCUUCGGCUGCGGACCCGGCCAUUCCCGAGGAGGUGUGGAAUAUCAAACAAAUGAUUAAAUUGACACAGGAGCAUAUAGAGGCCCUACUGGACAAAUUUGGUGGGGAGCAUAAUCCACCAUCAAUAUAUCUGGAGGCCUAUGAAGAAUACACCAGCAAGCUAGAUGCCCUCCAACAAAGAGAACAACAGUUAUUGGAAUCCCUGGGGAAUGGAACUGAUUUUUCUGUUUCUAGCUCUGCAUCAACAGACACCGUUACAUCUUCUUCCUCUUCUAGCCUUUCAGUGCUGCCUUCAUCUCUUUCAGUUUUUCAAAAUCCCACAGAUGUGUCACGGAGCAACCCCAAGUCACCACAAAAACCUAUCGUUAGAGUCUUCCUGCCCAAUAAACAGAGGACGGUGGUACCUGCAAGGUGUGGAGUUACAGUCCGGGACAGCCUAAAGAAAGCACUGAUGAUGAGAGGUCUAAUCCCAGAGUGCUGUGCUGUUUACAGAAUUCAGGAUGGAGAGAAGAAACCAAUUGGCUGGGACACUGAUAUUUCCUGGCUUACUGGAGAGGAAUUGCAUGUAGAAGUGUUGGAGAAUGUUCCACUUACAACACACAACUUUGUACGGAAAACUUUUUUCACCUUAGCAUUUUGUGACUUCUGUCGAAAGCUGCUUUUCCAGGGGUUCCGCUGUCAAACAUGUGGUUAUAAAUUUCACCAGCGUUGUAGUACAGAGGUUCCACUGAUGUGUGUUAAUUAUGACCAACUUGAUUUGCUGUUUGUCUCCAAGUUCUUUGAACACCACCCAAUACCACAGGAGGAGGCCUCCUUAGCAGAGACUACCCUUACGUCUGGAUCAUCCCCUUCUGCACCCCCCUCCGAUUCUAUUGGGCCCCCAAUUCUCACCAGUCCGUCUCCUUCAAAAUCCAUUCCAAUUCCACAGCCUUUCCGACCAGAUGAAGAUCACCGAAAUCAGUUUGGACAACGAGACCGGUCCUCAUCAGCUCCAAAUGUGCAUAUAAACACCAUAGAACCUGUCAAUAUUGAUGACUUGAUUAGAGACCAAGGGUUUCGUAGUGAUGGAGGAUCAACCACAGGUUUAUCUGCCACGCCCCCUGCCUCAUUACCUGGCUCACUCACUAAUGUGAAAGCAUUACAGAAAUCUCCAGGACCUCAGCGAGAAAGGAAGUCAUCUUCAUCCUCAGAAGACAGGAAUCGAAUGAAAACACUUGGUAGACGGGAUUCAAGUGACGAUUGGGAGAUUCCUGAUGGGCAGAUCACAGUGGGACAAAGAAUUGGAUCCGGGUCAUUUGGGACAGUCUACAAGGGAAAGUGGCAUGGUGAUGUGGCAGUGAAAAUGUUGAAUGUGACAGCACCCACACCUCAGCAGUUACAGGCCUUCAAAAAUGAAGUAGGAGUACUCAGGAAAACUCGACAUGUGAAUAUCCUACUCUUCAUGGGUUAUUCAACAAAGCCACAACUGGCUAUUGUUACCCAGUGGUGUGAGGGCUCCAGCCUAUAUCAUCAUCUCCACAUCAUUGAGACCAAAUUCGAGAUGAUCAAACUUAUAGAUAUUGCACGGCAGACUGCACAGGGCAUGGAUUACUUACACGCCAAGUCAAUCAUCCACAGAGACCUCAAGAGUAAUAAUAUUUUUCUUCAUGAAGACCUCACAGUAAAAAUAGGUGAUUUUGGUCUAGCCACAGUGAAAUCUCGAUGGAGUGGGUCCCAUCAAUUUGAACAGUUGUCUGGAUCCAUUUUGUGGAUGGCACCAGAAGUAAUCAGAAUGCAAGAUAAAAACCCAUAUAGCUUUCAGUCAGAUGUAUAUGCAUUUGGGAUUGUUCUGUAUGAAUUGAUGACCGGACAGUUACCUUAUUCAAACAUCAACAACAGGGACCAGAUAAUUUUUAUGGUGGGACGAGGAUAUCUAUCUCCAGAUCUCAGUAAGGUACGGAGUAACUGUCCAAAAGCCAUGAAGAGAUUAAUGGCAGAGUGCCUAAAAAAGAAAAGAGAUGAGAGACCACUCUUUCCCCAAAUUCUCGCCUCUAUUGAGCUGCUGGCCCGCUCAUUGCCAAAAAUUCACCGCAGUGCAUCCGAACCCUCUUUGAAUCGGGCUGGCUUCCAAACAGAGGAUUUUAGUCUGUAUGCUUGUGCUUCUCCAAAAACACCCAUCCAAGCAGGGGGAUAUGAAAAUAACUGUAAUGUGGCAGUCAGUAUAUUCUUACUGUGAACCAGAAUCUUACCGGGAAUCAAAAGUGAAAGAAGCAGCAUUGCUGUCAUCAAAGAAAUCACCGUCUCUACUUCAGAGUCAGCCUAGGGACCAAAGCCAGCCUCUUAAAUACAUCUUCAUUUACUCAGUUUGGAGUUGUGAUGAUAUUAAAUAUAACUGACAGUUCCAGGGUUAUUCAGGGGCACACAGAUGGCAUUUGCAUAAAUGCCAUCCUUCUUGGAAGCCAAUAAAGAAGAAAAUCGGGAGGACUUUAGUGAUAAUUUAGUCUUGAGAAUUUGCAGCCUUCAAGUAGCCACACCAUCACGACAGCAUCUACUCUUAUUUAAGUCUUGUGUUCGUACAAUUUGUUAACAUCAAAACACAGUUCUGUUCCUUAACUCUUUUUAAAGAUAAAAAUUUUCAAUGCAUAAGCUGGUGUGGAACAGAAUGGAAUUUCCCAUCCAACAAAAGAGGGAAGAAUGUUUUAGGAACUAGAAUUCUCUGCUGCCAGUGUUUCUUCUUCAACACAAAUACCACGUGCAUACAAGUCUGCCCACUCCCAGGAAGAAAGAGGAGACCCUGAGUUCUGACCUUUUGAUGGUCAGGCAUGAUGGAAAGAAACUGCUGCUACAGCUUGGGAGAUUUGCUCUGGAAAGUCUGCCAGUCAACUUUGCCCUUCUAACCACCAGAUCAAUAUGUGGCUGAUCAUCUGAUGGGGCAGUUGCAAUCACCAAGCCUCGUUCUCUUUCCUGUUCUGGGAUUUUGUUGUGGAGCUCUUUCCCCUAGCCACCACUGGUUAAUUUCUGAGGGAUGGAACAAAAAUGCAGCAUGCCCUUCCUGUAUGGUGCAUGUUCAGUCCUUGAUAAAUUUUUACCAAAAUGAAGCUAUUUCAUUUAAAUGGAGGGUGAGAGAUGAGGAGGUAGGUUUUGGUGUAGAGGAAAAGGGAAUGCUGCAUCUUUUUCCUGACCUGCUGGGUCUCUGGCCUUUGUUUCCUCGCUCACUCAGGCUCUGCCUGGCGGGCAGACUGGAAGCUCUGGCGCACAUUGCCUUCUUUUCCCAUUGGGUCCAGCAAUGAAGACGAGUGUUUGGGGAUUUUUUUUCUCCACGAUGUAGCAAGUUCUCAGGAAAAUACAACUGAUACCUUCCUCCUAAGCUCUUCCAGUCACCAAUUACUUAUGUGGCUACUUUGUCCAGGGCACAAAAUGCCUGUAUCUAAUUAAAAGCCUACAAAACUGCUUGAUAACAGUUUUGAAUGUGAGACAUUUAUAUAAUUUAAAUGUAAGGUACAAGUUUUAAUUUCUGAAUUUCUUCUAUUAUAUUUUUAUUAAAAACAAAAUAAUUUUCAGAUUUAAUUGAAUUGGAAUAAAAUAAUACUUCCCACUAGAAUUAUAUAUCCUGGAAAAUUGUAUUUUUGUUAUAUAAACAACUUCUAAAGAAAGAUCAGUAUCCUUUUCUCUACCUAAAUAUAUGGGGAGUCUUAGCAUAAUGACAAAUAUUUAUAAUUUUUAAAUUAAUGGUACUUGCUGGAUCCACACUAACAUCUUUACUAAUAUCUCAUUGUUUCUUCCAACUAACUCCUGCACUACAUCCUACAUUUUCUUUCUAGUCUUUGAUCUAGCAUAUGCAACCUCAAAUAAAAAUGGUGGUGUCUCCAUUCAUUCUCCUCCUUCCUUUUUUCCCAAGCCUGGUCUUCAAAAGGUUGGUUAACUUUGGCAGCCGAGUCCCCCAGGCAGAGAAUAGAGCAAUUUUAGGUGUAUUGGGACUGAGGGAGGAUGUGAAAAGCCUGACAUCAGUUGUUUUUAUAGAAAGAACUGCUGUGGUAUUAAGAACUUUUUCCUUAUCUUUAUAAAUGGGGAAUAUAACCUAGUCAUAACUUCCCUUGACCUUUACUGAAGUGUGGUAUAAAUCACAGUAGUAGCAAAGAAAGUGACUCUGGAUGUAUUAAUGGCAAAUACCCCCCUUAUCAUGAAUCUGGACUCUUAUCAAGAUUUAGGAAUGUAAAUCAAACGUACCUAGCCCAACCAAGCUAUGUAGUGAAGGACCUGAAAGAAAUUAGACAGGACCUACAAAAUAAAUCAGGGAAUUAGAAAUUAUUUAAAGUUUUCAAAUUGUAAAUUGCCCCGCUAUUUUUCAGCCUAUUAAAGCUUACUGUCAUUAGAUGAUUUCUUGCUACGUUACCUAUAUUCAGAGGAAGGCCUGUUGAAAAUUCCAUGGACUUGUAAAAGAUUGUCCCAGUAAAAUGGGAAAUAAUCCUCAAGUUAUUAACGAGUUUGAAAAGCAGUGUGUUCUUUAGUCUUUCGUGAGCAGAGCAGUAUCUUACAAAAUUGAGAAAUUGCAAGAAUGAAAAUGAUUUGUGCUGAUUUGAAGAGCAUCUUGUGUACAUAAUGCUGCCUCUCUUUUAAAAGCAUUGUUUAUUUUUCUUUUUAAAUAUGUCCCCACAGAUGCUUUUGAACAUGCUUGUGUUACCUUUUCCUAGAUUGGAGAGAGCUGGGCUUGAACAGUAGGCGUGUCCUGCCGGAGCUUCUAGUGCAGGACUCCCUCCCUGAGCACGGCAGGAGCCAGCACAGGAGCUAGUUAUGGAGGGAGCUUAGCAUUGGAGUUUUCAACACAAAAUUCAAGGUGAUUAAACACUGUUUUCUUCCCUUUCUUUUUAGAAUACAUUGCUAUCUCAUUUGAAAAAUCUCAUUUCUUAAAUGAAGCUGUGCCCAGAAGCCAGGCUCAGGGUAUUCUUGAGAGAUUUGUAUAGAGCCCUUAAAAAAUAAAAAUAAAAUUUUAGCAUUUCCCUUUUCUUCCUUUUCUCCAUUAAAUACUUUUUCUCUAGUUUACAAAUGGCAUGGAAAAGGAAUUUCCCCUGAGUUUUACAUGCUUUUUUUGAUGCUUAGACUACAGAUAGACUUGAGCUCCUAAGAAAAUACAAGGGAAGAACUCCUUGUUUGUUGUGCAGUGCACUUUAUGAGUAGUUUGUAUCGAUAUUAUGUGGCUGCUUUACUGACAGGCUUGUAAGGCUGCACUUAUCUGUCUUUCCUGUAAGGCGGCUGCAGUGCCUUCUGUAGUGUAUUUUAUUUUGGAUAAGGAGAGGUGACACCUUCUGAAAAAUUUCAGAGUAACCAUAACAGAUUGUUUUAAAGUAUGUAGUAUUCCUGAUGGACUUUUUCAUCAUUAAACUAGUCUAGGGUCUAAACUUUUACCACUGAAAUAAUAUUGACCAAAAAGUAAUUUAUAAAAGGGAUUUUGUGAAUAGAAAAUCCACUGUAAUCAUUUGUACUUAAGUGCACUCUUAAAAGAAGAUUCUGUCUCGCUGUCAAACUCUGGUUCCUUAACAUCCAAUCCCUGGUUGUGUUUGCGAUCUGGUAGGACAUGCUAAGGCAAGCUAGAAGAUAAAAUCCCAUAUACUUUAGUAUACGUGUUAUAUUUAUGUCAGUGUUGGAAAAGAAAGAGCAGUUACUUAGUAAUAAAGAUCCAAGACUUCAACACUGUCAACCUGAAACUUUGUAAAUAUUUCCUAGAUUCUUGUUUGGUGCGGUCACAGCUCUUUAUCACACAAUGUUAUCUUUUACUCAUCAGGCAAUUUUGGAACUGCUGCACACCCCUCCUCAGAUCUCACCUGCCCCUCCCGUACAUUCACCUCUCCAGCCUUGUGCACACCUCAUUUAGCUUUACUUUGAAACACAUUGCAGGGUUCAGGUGACCUCUUCUAAAACUACCUCCUCAGAAUGAGGUAAUGAAUAGUUAUUUAUUUUAAAAUAUGAAAAGUCAGGAGCUCUAGAACAUGGAGAUGAUUUAAGAUUUUAACUUUUAUGUGUACUUGUAUUUGAGCCUUCUCAUUUUGUCCUAAAGGGCAUUAUACAUUUAAGCAGUAAUACUGACAAAUGUAGCUCAGAGUAUCUGAAUGUUGUUGAAAGUGAUGCCAGAAUCUCUUUAGGGGUACGUUUCAGAAUUUUUAACCUUAUAUCGGUUGCAUGAAAUUAAAUAGUUAAUGGUAACACUUCACUAACAGUGAUAUAAUUUUAAUUUUUGGUAGGCUUAUUAGCAAGACAGUACAUCUUCAUAAUGAGUUAGCCGCAGCUUCAUCACAUGCACAGAUGCUCCUGUAGAGAGACUGCCCAGUUAAGAGGGUAGAAUGAUGACCCAUUUUGCAAGUUUCUCUUCUUUGUCCAAAUUGGCAUUCUUUGUGCUAGAAAAUCAGCACUUUGAGAAUAGCAAUUUCAACCAUUAGACUAGUAAAAAGCAAAACAAACAAAAAAACCAUAGCCAGACAUGGAAAGUUUACUGUGAGUAUAAACAGCAAAUAGCUUACAGGUCAUACAUUGAAAUGGUGUAGGUAAGGCUCUAGAAAAAUACCUUGACAAUUUGCCAAAUGAUCUUCCUGUGCCUUCAUGAUGCAAUAAAAAAGCUAAAAUUUUAGCAGAAAUCAGUGAUUUGUGAAGAGAGCAGCCACCCUGGUCUAACUCAGCUGUGUUAAUAUUUUUUAGCGUGCAAUUUAGACUGCAAAGAUAAAUGCACUAAAGAGUUUAUAGCCAAAAUCAUGUUUAAAAAAAUGAGAAAACACACAGGUAAAUUUUCAGUGAACAAAAUUAUUUUUUUAAAGCACAUAAUCCCUAGUAUAGUCAGAUAUAUUUAUCACAUAGAGCAAAUAGGUUGAAAUCAUAAUUCAGUGACAUUUCUAGAGAAACUUUUUCUACUCCCAUAGGUUCUUCAAAGCAUGGAACUUUUAUAUAACAGGAAUGUUUGACAGACAUUUUAAGAAAUUGCUGUAGUUUAGGGUUGAAGUUACUAUAUGCUGGGCAGCAGUCAUAUGUAUUAACUAGUGAGAAGGAUGAAAUUAACAUAUAGGACAGAAUUUGAUUUUCUCAGUUCCCAUAGUACUGCUGCCAACCUAGACACUGAUUUUCCAGAGUUUGAAAUAUAAACUUGCCUCUCAGGAUUUGUUUGCAAAUUAAGUGGGACUGUCUUGCUAAUGCUCUGGGGGCCAGGUGGAAUUUCCAAGGGCUCCUCUAUGAGGGGACAUAAGGCUGGCGGGUGUGAACUGGACACACUCCAUGGUGUGCUUCUAGUAUCUUGAUUCCUUGCCACCCCCAAGAAAGGCUUCAGCAAGUUCUCUAGACGUUUCACUAAGGAGUAUUACUAAUGCCCAUAGGUUGUUGAGCACCCGAGGGGUGCAGUAGCAUCUCUGCCUGAUUGUAUAUUGGCCCCCAGAGGAGAGUGAAGUGGCCAGUGUACUCAUAUUCCAUGUUGCUAGCUCUGGUAAAUUGAAAAUACUGGUAAGAUUUUUGUUUUAUUAGUACACUAGAGAGUAAGCUUUGUUUUGUUGUUUGAAGAUAAUCAAUUUUCACUUCUGUUUGGGAAAACAUUUAAAUUGAAUUUCAGUCCUAAAUUUUGCCAGUUGUGGCAAUUAACAGUUUCUAUCAGGUGUUUUUAAUGUAGAAGAGGACAGAAACUAAGUCCUAAAAUCUUAAAUUAAGGUAACAGUGGUUUAUUUUAGAACGCUUAGGGGUGGUUAGUCUCUACCUCAAAAAAUUGAUUGAGUGUAUCAUUUAUUUCAGUAUCCACAAUUUCAGCUGUUGUUCUUGUAAUACUUUUUUUUAACAUUUUGACCCCCUUUACCCAACUGUUAACUUAGUCUUAUUACUAAAUCAGUUUCAUUAAAAUGUUUAAUUUUAUUUAGCAGUUUUGACUAAUUACAAUGAUAUAACCAGUUGUGCAUGAGGACACAGCCAGUGAGUGUAUCUGGGUUUUUUUGUGAUGCUUUUUUUUCUUAAGAAUUCUGUAGGUUGAAGUACUCUUUGAAAACAAAGAACUAAAAUAUGUUUAUUCAUGUUAGCAUAAAAAAAAAAAGAUUUGUGCAAACCAUCUGCUUCUCCUGGCAGGCUGAGCACAUUGUCCAGCACCCGCGAGUGGCUGGUUCUCAUCACAGAAUCUAUGUAGGGAAUUGGGCAUGAAAUUCACUGAAGAGGUGGAGCAGAGGAAGUGUUCUGUUUACAGGAGUGGAGAUAGGGCUUAUGAGUAAGUUGCUUAGUAAGUUGGUUUUGUUUUGAGAAUUAUUGUGUUACAUUUGUGUGUUAAGCUUUUUUUAACCCACUUGUGUUUUGGUGGAGUAUGUGUUACAUAAGAGGAAACGUCAGACUAGCAUAAGCAACAAAGCUCACAGUCUAGGCACAGGUGUAGACAAAAUGGACCAAAAUGGGAGGGGGGAGGGUAUGGGAGUAAGUCUAGGGGUAGGGAAGAAUUGAUAUGAGGGUGGGAAAUAAACUAUAAUUACCUGAAAUAAAAUGUUAAGAGUGCAAUAAGUGUGCUUUUUAUUCUAAGCUGUGAACGGGUUUUUUAAAAAAUCAUUCCUUCCUAAUACAUUUGCCUGUGUUCUGUAGCUGAUUAAAACCAGCUAUGUAAACAUAUAAUGCCUUUUUAUUCAUGUUAAUUACCAACAUAAAUGGCUAACCUUUAUGUCUUAUUUAUCUUCAUGUUAUGUUAGUUUACAUCCAGGGGUGUGUAUGUGUGUGUAUGCUGUAAAUUUUCCCUCCUUCGUUUGAAAACGCCUUUGUUGGGUCCUGUGUGUUUCCUUUGGCCAUGCCACAGGUUAUAGUCUCGGCUUGGCCUUCAUAUCGCCUGAUUUGAAGGACUCUAUCACAGUGACAUAGCUCAUUCAUUUGUUGUGCACUCUGACCCUUUCCUCACUCAGCAGUUGCUGUUUCUUCUAAAAUAUGAGUGUACAACUAUGAGGAGAUUGAAAUUAACUGUUUAACAUAUGUCCCUUUGAAUUCUAUUUAGUAGUUAUGAUUGCUCUUUGGUUUGGACCAAGAAAAAGGAAAUCCGCGCCCCACCCCCACCCCCCGCCUUUCACUUAUUUCUCGGUUUGAGGACAAUUCUUCUGUAAGAGAGGGGAAAGGGAAAUCCUUCAUGUUUUAACUGCAGUGAGUUAAUGGCCCCUGGUUUACUCCAAACCUUAUGGCGAUUCACAUUCACAUUCCUCUCCUCUCUUGCUGCCAGAGGUUUGGGUUUAGUUCACUUCAGUUCCGCUCAAGCAUUGAAAAGGUUCUCAUGGAGUCUGGGGUGUGCCCAGUGAAAAGAUGGGGACUUUUUAAUUGUCCACAGACCUCUCUAUACCUGCUUUGCGAAAAUUACAAAGGAGUAACUAUUUUUAAAGCUUAUUUUUCAACUCAUAAAAAAAGACAUUUAUUUUCAGUCAAACGGAUGAUGUUUCCCUCUUGUCCCUUAAUCCUCAGUGUUUGCUUGAAUUUUUUUUUUUUCAAUUCUUCCCCAUCCCCGCUUCUUGAUACUUUGGGUUCUCUUUCCUGCUCAGGUCCUUUCACUUGUAUUUUGGAGUUUUUCUCAUGUAAAUUUGUACAAUGGAAAAUAUUGUUCAGUUUGGAUAGAAAGCAUGGAGAAUUAAAAAAAAGAUAGCUGAAAUUCAGAUUGAAGAAAUUUAUUUCUGUGUAAAGUUAUUUAAAAACUCUGUACUAUAUAAAAGGCAAAAAAGUUCUAUGUACUUGAUGUGAAUAUGCGAAUACUGCUAUAAUAAAGAUUGACUGCAUGGAGAA